CCCAAUACAGUUCAGUCCUGACUGCAACAGCCAUACGGAUUUGUCAAUGUCCUUCAACUAUGACUUGUAGCAACUCAUUCUGUUCCAGUCAUGGGACUCUGACGCAGCUUAGCUAAUGGGCCUGAUCCUGGACAAUAAAAAUCAUGAAGUGGAGAGGUACCGGAAGACUGGAAUACAACGAACUCAGUACCAGUCUUCAAAACAAGAAGGAAAAGAGAUCCCCCAAUUACCCUCCUGAAACAUUACCAUAUGGCACAGCCCAGAAAGGGGAUGGAAAUAAGUGGUUAUUAGUGCCUGGACAGAAGGGCAUGGCUAAUGACAUUUUGGAGGUACUUGAUUGGUUACAGACUGAUGCCAUUAUUAUUAUUUAUGUUGCUCUAAAAUCUAGAGGCCCACAGACCCUGAAAAUUAGGCCUGAUAUAAAUGACAAACUGAAACCACACAAGGAUAAAUACGUGAAACACUUCAGAGAAGGUAUGGAUCCUUCCUAUUACUUAACCAAGAUAACUGAUCCUCCAUAGAUAUCAUAGACUGAGCCCAGAACA